GUCGCUCCAUAUCCUUGUUCACCAUCAUCUUUUGGCGUAAUUCCAGCUUAUCUCGCUCCCACAGCUGAAGCACAUUUGUAGCAAAAUCUCGCAUACAAUCAACCACCUCUUUUUCCGAGACCCUUUCAAAUGCUUGUGACCAAUGAUUACAAAUGACAAAAAUAGGGGGAGCACCAAUCCUGCCAGGAGAAAAGGGAGCUAUUCCAUCGUCUGUUUCUUCCGGUACAUAUAGAAGACACUUCAUAAGCCAACUGUUCAAU
rnacentral:misc_RNA from 1 species